rnacentral:rRNA from 1 species
GAUGAACGCUGGCGGCGUGCCUAAUACAUGCAAGUCGAGCGAAUGGAUUAAGAGCUUGCUCUUAUGAAGUUAGCGGCGGACGGGUGAGUAACACGUGGGUAACCUGCCCAUAAGACUGGGAUAACUCCGGGAAACCGGGGCUACUACCGGAUCACAUUUUGAACCGCAUGGUUCGAAAGUGAAAGGCGGCUUCGGCUGUCACUUAUGGAUGGACCCGCGUCGCAUUAGCUAGUUGGUGAGGUACCGGCUCACCAAGGCAACGAUGCGUAGACGACCUGAGAGGGUGAUCGGCCACACUGGGACUGAGACACGGCCCAGACUCCUACGGGAGGCAGCAGUAGGGAAUCUUCCGCAAUGGACGAAAGUCUGACGGAGCAACGCCGCGUGAGUGAUGAAGGCUUUCGGGUCGUAAAACUCUGUUGUUAGGGAAGAACAAGUGCUAGUUGAAUAAGCUGGCACCUUGACGGUACCUAACCAGAAAGCCACGGCUAACUACGUGCCAGCCGCCGCCGUAA